GAUCCUACGGGGAGGCAGCAGUGGGGGGAAUAGUUGCACAAUGGGCGCAAGCCUGAUGCAGCCAUGCCGCGUGUAUGAAGAAGGCCUUCGGGUUGUAAAGUACUUUCAGCAGUGAGGAAGGCAGGUACGUUAAUAGCGUGCUUGUUUGACGUUAGCUGCAGAAGAAGCACCGGCUAACUCCGUGCCAGCAGCCGCGGUAAUACGGAGGGUGCGAGCGUUAAUCGGAAUUACUGGGCGUAAAGCGCAUGCAGGUGGUUUGUUAAGUCAGAUGUGAAAGCCCGGGGCUCAACCUCGGAAUUGCAUUUGAAACUGGCAGACUAGAGUACUGUAGAGGGGGGUAGGAAUUUCAGGUGUAGCGGUGAAAUGCGUAGAGAUCUGAAGGAAUACCGGUGGCGAAGGCGGCCCCCUGGACAGAUACUGACACUCAGAUGCGAAAGCGUGGGGAGCAAACAGGAUUAGAUACCCUGGUAG
rnacentral:rRNA from 1 species